UCUCUCUCUCUCUCUCUCUCACGCUUUCAUUCAAAGGCCUUGCGAUUUUUGGACAACGAUAAGCAGGUUUUCCAUUAGGGUUUUGGAAAGGCUGUGAAGAUGAGUGACAAUUUGAUGGAUAAAGUAAGCGCAUUUGGUGAGCGCCUCAAGAUUGGAGGUGCUGAGGUGGGCCGAAAGAUGAGUGCUGGGAUGAGCUCAAUGAGCUUCAAAAUGAAGGAGCUGUUCCAGGGUCCAAACCAGGCUGAUAAACUUGUUGAGGAAGCCACAGCAGAGACCCUUGAAGAGCCUGAUUGGGCCUUGAAUCUUGAACUCUGUGACAUGAUUAAUCAUGAAAAGGUUAGCAGUGUUGAAUUAAUCCGUGGUAUAAAGAAGCGGAUCAUGAUGAAGAAUGCUAGGGUUCAGUACUUGGCCUUGGUGUUACUAGAAACAUGUGUUAAGAAUUGCGAGAAAGCUUUCUCGGAGGUUGCAGCUGAGAGGGUCCUUGAUGAAAUGGUGAAGCUGAUUGAUGAUCCUCAGACAGUUGUUAAUAAUCGUAAUAAGGCUUUGAUGCUGAUUGAAGCAUGGGGGGAAUCAACUGGUGAGCUGCGCUAUUUACCUGUUUAUGAAGAGACAUACAAGGUAUUCAUUCUGUUUGCUUUUUAAUAUUUUCACUCUCUUGUUUGGCUCCCCGAAAAUCGGAGGAAAAGAAAGGAAAAUUUUGUUUCAGUUUUUUGUUGCCUUUAGGCUUGUUUAAAAUGAAAAAUAGUGUUGAUUAUACUUGAAAUAGUUGUCUAAAUUUCAACUUAGUGGAGACCACCGGCCUUAGCAUUCUCUCUCCUACUUUGUUUCAUAAAAACAAUGAGAUGGUAUUCAAUAUUUGUUAUUUCAGCCCUUCUUCUAGGUGAGAGUCUUGGCAUUUUGUCCAAUACACUGAAUAUUAAUGCUAGGAUAUUGAACAAAAGGGAGUCAUGCUGUAAAAAAUUCAUUCAAGUUUGUUCAACAAGUUUUAUAAAUUUACCUCAAAAAAGUUGAAUGUAAGUACUAUGGCUAUUUUUGGUUGUGGAAUUUUUGACUUUGACUCUGUUGACAUUACAUUAGGUGCAAUGAUAUUACUCAUUUCUGAAUGAAUUGCAGAGGAGCUGUGUGUGUGUGUAGUGCGGUAUUGCUUUAGAACUAGAUGUUAAAUUUGGAUACUCUUGGCUAACACGGAGUUAUGACUUCUUGAACUCUCCUCUUUUUCUCCCUUCUCUGGGUUUGUGCCUUUUCUAUUAAAGAGUCUAAGAUCGAGGGGAAUCCGAUUCCCUGGUCGUGACAAUGAGAGUUUGGCACCCAUCUUUACCCCUCCUCGUUCAGUUUCAGCACCUGAAGUGGAUGCUAGUCUUGCACAGCAGAUUCAGCAUGAUAUUCCUGUGGUAACCUUUACGGCUGAACAAACAAAGGAAGCAUUUGAUGUGGCAAGAAAUAGCAUUGAACUUCUCACAACAGUGUUGUCCUCCUCCCCUGAACAUGAUGUUUUGAAGGACGAUUUGACAACUACACUCAUUCAGCAGUGUCGUCGAUCUCAAUCGACCGUGCAGAGAAUCAUUGAGACAGCAGGAGAUAAUGAAGCUCUGCUUUUUGAAGCCUUGAAUGUGAAUGAUGAGAUUCAGAAAGUUCUCUCCAAGUAUGAAGAGUUGAAGAAGCCAUCAGUUGUUUCUUCUGAGCCUGAGCCUGCUAUGAUUCCUGUUGCUGUUGAGCCUGAUGAUUCACCCGUCCAUGCAAGAGAAGAUGCCUUAAUUAGGAAGCCAGCAGGUUCACGGGGUACUCAUGGGGGAAGCAAUGAUGACAUGAUGGAUGAUCUUGAUGAAAUGAUCUUUGGUAAGAAAAGUGGAGGCACAUCUGAAGGUGCACAGGACCCAAAGAAACAGCAAUCUUCAAAGGAUGAUCUCAUCAGCUUCUGAGCUGAUGAGUUCAGAAAAUUCCAUAUUUUUAGGAAAGAGGCCAUUGACAUCUGGCCAUUUAGGUGUUCCAUAUGAAUUAAGUUUGAUUUUAAAAUGGUUGAAACCGUCAUAAACAGGGCUGGUGGAUUUUUCUUUUGCAUAACAUUUACAUUUUUCUGUCAAUUUCUGUAAGUAGUUUAUAUCUUGGAUUGAUACAAUUGCUUGACAUGGUAUACAUCUAUUUUAUCGAACAUUCAGUUAUUUGG
rnacentral:misc_RNA from 1 species